UACGUAGGGUGCAAGCGUUGUCCGGAAUUAUUGGGCGUAAAGAGCUCGUAGGCGGUUUGUCGCGUCUGCUGUGAAAAUCCAGGGCUUAACCCUGGACCUGCAGUGGGUACGGGCAGACUGGAGUGCGGUAGGGGGAGAUCGGAAUUCCUGGUGUAGCGGUGGAAUGCGCAGAUAUCAGGAGGAACACCGGUGGCGAAGGCGGAUCUCUGGGCCAUAACUGACGCUGAGGAGCGAAAGCAUGGGGAGCGAACAGG
rnacentral:rRNA from 1 species